UAAAUAUGAACUAUAAAGAUGUCCUUAACUC
rnacentral:piRNA from 1 species